UUUACAACUCGCAGGAUUUCCAUGGGUGAGCUUUCAACCCAAAUCUGUACAGCAUUGUUAGUCUUUACUGAUAAGAAACCGCGGGAGCAGUUGUCUGAUUCUCGCUCGUGCUGGAGGAGCGUUCAUUUUGGCAAGGAAAUGUGCUGAUUUUGCAACGACAUGGAGAAGAAAGUGUUCAAGGAAUCAGUGGGAAUGACCUCACCCUCACAGACCUGGGUGACCCCAUCAAUGACGGUGAUGUUAUGAAGGAAGUCAAACCUGAUACAGAUCAGAGAGACAGACCAAGUUGGAAGAGGCUGUUCUAGAGACAGAUAUCCCAACUCUGUGACUUGAGGAUGAAGGAGAAAUUAAGAUGCAGGAGGCUGAUCUGAAGACAGAUGGCACAUCUCAGUCACAGGAGGUUGAGGGAGAGAGCGAGUUGGACGAGGCCAUUGUCAUCCCAUCUCAGUCACAGGAGGAGGCCAAAGGAGAGAGUGAGUUAAAUCAGGUUGAUCUGAAGACAGCCACAUCAACUCUGACACUGGAGGUCGAAGGAUAGAGUGUGAUGCAGGAGAGUGAUGAUCUAGAGACAGCUGGGACAUCUCAAUCCCAGGAGACUGAACGAGUGGCAAAGGCUGCAGUGGUGACCUUCACUACCAUGACCCGCAAGGCUGCAGCCUCCCAGACCAGCCUCACCCUCAGCAGGGGAAAGAGAAGCUACCCAGACCUACACGCCUUUGUGCAGGACAUAAAGGAUGGCCAUUGGAAUCUGCUGAGUGAGAAUAUGCGUGCCGGGAUGAGCAGAGAUGAGUUUAGUGCUAGGUGCAUAUGGAUAUUACAAAUUGGGUGAUGGAGUCUACAUCCACUGUGGUCGUUCCUGCCAUUGACCUCACUAUGCAGAUCGAGCUCUCUGAUUCGUCAAGCUCUUCUGGAUCAGGAAGUAAUGAGACAAGAGAAGUGACCUCUCUUGGCCGCAGCGUCAGAUUCAGCUUUUGUGGUGGACCCAGUAGACGCACCAGUUCUGGAACUGCUUGAAGCACACAAACUCCCACGCCUUUCCCCUCCUCUCACAGGUCCAUGACCUCUUUGCUGAGUGAUGACGAAGAACGAUAUGUCUCCUCACCUGAGGGUGGUGAGAGAGAUGAGACACA
ensembl:lncRNA